rnacentral:rRNA from 1 species
ACGGGUGAGUAACACGUAUCCAACCUGCCGUCUACUCUUGGACAGCCUCUGAAAGGAAGAUUAAUACAAGAUGGCAUCAUGAGUUCACAUGUUCACAUGAUUAAAGGUAUUCCGGUAGACGAUGGGGAUGCGUUCCAUUAGAUAGUAGGCGGGGUAACGGCCCACCUAGUCUUCGAUGGAUAGGGGUUCUGAGAGGAAGGUCCCCCACAUUGGAACUGAGACACGGUCCAA